GACGAACGCUGGCGGCGUGCCUAAUACAUGCAAGUAGAACGCACAGUUUAUACCGUAGCUUGCUACACCAUAGACUGUGAGUUGCGAACGGGUGAGUAACGCGUAGGUAACCUGCCUGGUAGCGGGGGAUAACUAUUGGAAACGAUAGCUAAUACCGCAUAAUAUUAAUUAUUGCAUGAUAAUUAAUUGAAAGGUGCAAUUGCACCACUACCAGAUGGACCUGCGUUGUAUUAGCUAGUAGGUGAGGUAACGGCUCACCUAGGCGACGAUACAUAGCCGACCUGAGAGGGUGAUCGGCCACACUGGGACUGAGACACGGCCCAGACUCCUACGGGAGGCAGCAGUAGGGAAUCUUCGACAAUGGACGAAAGUCUGACCGAGCAACGCCGCGUGAGUGAAGAAGGUUUUCGGAUCGUAAAGCUCUGUUGUAAGAGAAGAACGGGUGUGAGAGUGGAAAGUUCACACUGUGACGGUAUCUUACCAGAAAGGGACGGCUAACUACGUG
rnacentral:rRNA from 1 species